AGUGAACGCUGGCGGUAGGCCUAACACAUGCAAGUCGAACGGCAGCACAGUAAGAGCGCGCCCUUACGGGUGGCGAGUGGCGGACGGGUGAGGAAUACAUCGGAAUCCACUUUUUCGUGGGGGACAACGUAGGGAAACUGACGCUAAUAGCGCAUACUACCUACGGGUGAAAGCAAGGGUGAUUCGGACUCUGGGUGACAGAAAUAGACGGUGCUGCAUUAGCUAGUUGGCGGGGUAAGGGCCCACCAAGGCAACGAUACGUAGCAGGUCUGAGAGGAUGAUCAGCCACACUGGAACUGAGACACGGUCCAGACUCCUACGGGAGGCAGCAGUAGGGAAUCUUGGACAAUGGGCGCAAGCCUGACCCAGCAAUGCCGCGUGGGUGAUGAAGGCCUUCGGGUUGUAAAGCCCUUUUGUUGGGGAAGAACAGCAGUGGGUUAAUCCCCCGCUGUCCUGACGGUACCCAAUCAGUAAGCACCGGCUAACUUCGUG
rnacentral:rRNA from 1 species